rnacentral:rRNA from 1 species
UACGUAGGGUGCAAGCGUUUAAUCGGAAUUACUGGGCGUAAAGCGUGCGCAGGCGGUUUUGUAAGUCUGUCGUGAAAUCCCCGGGCUCAACCUGGGAAUUGCGAUGGAGACUGCAAGGCUAGAAUCUGGUAGAGGGGGGUAGAAUUCCACGUGUAGCAGUGAAAUGCGUAGAGAUGUGGAGGAACACCGAUGGCGAAGGCAGCCCCCCUGGGCUGACACUGACGCUCAGGCACGAAAGCGUGGGGAGCAAACAGG